UACGGAGGGUGCAAGCGUUGUCCGGAUUUAUUGGGUUUAAAGGGUGCGUAGGUGGCCCGUUAAGUCCGGGGUGAAAGCCCACUGCUCAACAGUGGAACUGCCCUGGAUACUGGCGGGCUUGAGUCCAGACGAGGUUGGCGGAAUGGAUGGUGUAGCGGUGAAAUGCAUAGAUACCAUCCAGAACCCCCGAUUGCGUAGGCAGCUGACUAGGCUGGUACUGACACUGGAGGCACGAAAGCGUGGGGAGCGAACAGG
rnacentral:rRNA from 1 species